rnacentral:rRNA from 1 species
GAUGAACGCUAGCGGCAGGCUUAAUACAUGCAAGUCGAGGGGCAGCAUGUCCCGACGCAAGUCGGGAUGAUGGCGACCGGCAAACGGGUGCGGAACACGUACAGAACCUUCCUUAAGUGGGAAUAGCCCAGAGAAAUUUGGAUUAAUACCCCGUAANAUUAUGAAAUGGCAUCAUUUUANAAUUAUAGAUUUAUCGCUUAGAGAUGGCUGUGCGGCUGAUUUAGGAGUUGGCGGGGUAACGGCCCACCAAGCCUGCGAUCAGUAACUGGUGUGAGAGCACGACCAGUCACACGGGCACUGAGACACGGGCCCGACUCCUACGGGAGGCAGCAGUAAGGAAUAUU